UGAAGGAACAAAAUGGAUAAGAACAAAAACUUGGUACAUAUUUGGAAAGAAUGGAACAUGCAUUAAUUAAAUAACAAAUCACUCAUUAGGCUUGUCUCUUAAAUACAGAAGAGAUUUGCCUUAGGCUAAUCCUCUUUUUUAAUUUAUUUUUUUUUCCCUCCGCUCCUUCUAAACCACUAAUUAAUCAAAAUCAUUAACUCUUAACCCCCAAAAAAAAAAUAAGAACAGAAAAUUAAAUUUACAACUAUUUACUACCAAAUAUUAGCCAUUUCCAAUUCCCACGCCACAGUUAUUUUUUACCAUUCAGUUAUUUCCAUAUCAGCAAGAGUAAAAUUCAACCAAUUCCUCUAAUGACUCUGGCUGAGGAUCUGCAUUUUCAAGCAUCCAUAACAAAUGUUCAAACAGCACGACUUCACAUCCAACUGUAAUAUAUUCUUCAGUCUCACCGGACCUUUCCACGAGUUCGCGAAAUAGCGGGUGAUCGAUUACGUCGGAGCUCACCAGGUACCGGCGGCGAGAUUUUCCGACGUAUACCGGGAACAAAUUCUUACCGGAGCAGCGAUUUUCAUCGGAAAAUGAAUCGUCUUCUUCGGAGGAAGAAUGAUGAUGAGUUGCUGCUACGCCAGCGGUGCUAUUUACUCGGCCAAUUUUGAAGGAUUGCAUUUUCUUCAACACGGAUUUGAGUUUUGUGAGUUUUCCUCCUUUCGCCAUUGCUGUUUGUGUAAAGAGAAA
rnacentral:misc_RNA from 1 species